rnacentral:rRNA from 1 species
UAACAUCAGAUGAUAUAUAAUCACGACAUCGUGGAAAUAAUCAAAUACUUCCGGAGGCCUUGGGAUGAGCCUGCGUCUGAUCAGGUAGUUGGCGGAGUAAUAGCCCACCAAGCCUACGAUCAGUAGCUGGUCUGAGAGGAUGAUCAGCCACACUGGAACUGAGACACGGUCCAGACUCCUACGGGAGGCAGCAGUAAGGAAUAUUGCUCAAUGGGGGAAACCCUGAAGCAGCAACGCCGCGUGAAGGAUGAAAUACUUUUGUAUGUAAACUUCUGUAAGAUGGGAAAAAUAUUCUCCUCGGGAGAAUUGAUUGUACCAUCAGAGUAAGCCCCGGCUAACUACGUG